AAACAGGUCGGCUCCGUGUGCUUGUGUGAUCAGAGUGAGGGUUCAUCACAGCCACCGCGGUGCAGACUUCUUUCAAAGGAAAUGCAGGCUCCACCUGGCAAUAAAAAUCCUCAGGUCGAAAUGAAGGCUGCCUCCGGAGCUUGUCCCGCUGGGCUCGUCCAUGCAAAGGACCUGUGCUUGCAUCUUCGCUCUUGGAAGGCUCAGCCAGGAGCAAAGGAGACCAUUGAACUUGUUGCAGCAGCAGCCCCAGAACGUCAGCCUCGUCCUGUGAGCCGACUGCUUGGGGUCUCUGGGUUGCAACCUUCAUCCCCACCCCUAACUCUUCUGCCAACAGAGACCUCCCCAGCUUUCUUUGGAUUCCCCUUUCAACACCCAUGGUGCCCUGUAGAGAGUACACUGGAAUGGAUACAUACAGAUGAAUCCAGUUACUUGGAGCGUGCAGGAACUACUCUCCAGGACAGAAACUACAAUCUUACCUGAGUUAAUCCUUCCAGUGAGGCAGACUUCAUUCCUCAUCCAACAGCAAUGAUGACAACACCAUGUGUCACAUCCAUAAGACUUUAAUCAUCUACAUUUAUAUUUUACUUCGAAAUUAAAAGCAUGAGCAAAUCUUUGAAAAAUAACAUUUUUCCUUAUUUGACAUAUAAAUGCUAUUGUAAGUAAUUUGUUCCAUAGCUGGGUUAUUCCUUUAUGGAUUUGGCCCCUAUUCCUAUGACGUUUAUUUCCCUUAUCUGCAAUGCCACGAGUCUUCCUCUAAGACCCAUCUUCUCAAGGGCAGGUGUUUGGCGUCCCACUCAGGAUGCCUGGUUCAAAUCUCAGCUCUUCUAUUUCCAGUCUAGCCUCCUCCUAACACGCAUCUGAGGGGGCAGCAGGUGAGGGCUCAAGUACUUGGACGCCUGCCGCCUAUGUUGGAGACCCAGAUGGAGUUCCAGGCUCUCCACUUUGGCUUGGCCUAGCCCCACCCUGACUGUCGCAGGCAUUUGGGGAGUGAACCAGUAGAUGGAAGAUAUCUCUCCUCUCUGUCACUCCCUUCCAAAUAGAAUGAAAAUAAAUACAUAAAUAAAUCUUCUCCACUAUUCCUAAUUAACUUAGCACCUCCUGACCCCUUAAGCACAGAGCACCAUGCCUCAGUCUCCGAGGACCAGGCUGCUUUUGCAUCUACUUAUUGCUUUUGUUUAUAUGCAUCCUUUGUUGAGUAUAUUGAGAACUCUCCAAGCACACAAACUCUUUUGCCUAUUAUUUUAUCCUCCCGUGGACAGCUUGACUCUCAAGAGGCGUGCAGUCAAUGCCUAGUGACCAGUUAAGUCACCGCAGUUAAUUAUUUGGGCAAGAUCAAAAGUGUCAAGAUGGUGGUUUAACAAUAACCACCUGCAGUAAUGACAAUAGCCAUAGCAGAAUUUCUUCAUGUCCUCGUCUCUGCCGGCUAACUUGUGUCAGACAUUACUUAUGAAUUUUGUAUAAGAUUGCUGUUGUCUUGACAUUCCUGUUUCCCAAGAUUUAUAAUCUUGUAAACUGUUUGUCACUGAAACAACAUGGAAGAUAAAAGUAAUUUCAGUAAUAUGCUGACAGUGUUAUGCUGGCGACACGUGAAUACAAACAUCCUAUAGAAUGAGGAGAGACAGUUUCAGAAAUAGUGUAGGUUGGUGACGAGGUUUGAUAUAGAAAGAAGCAACUCCAGGCCCUGUUCAAGGUUGUGUCUAAUUUGCAGUGAGACAAUUUCAGCUAAGGCACAGAGAGGACAGGCCCCAGCCAGCAUCUCCCUCUCAGAUACCCCAGCAGGGACCGGGCUGUGGCUUGUCACCAGCAAAGAAUAACUCCUUUUCUUUGUUUUUAUUAAUUUUUUAUUAAAUUAAAAAUUUUUUUAUUUAUUUGACAGGUAGAGUUAUAGACAGUGAAAGAGAGAGACAGAGAGAAAGGUCUUCCUUCCAUUGGUUCACCCCCCAAAAUGGCCGCUACGGCCGGUGCUGUGCCCAUCCAAAGCCAGGAGCCAGGUGCUUCCUCCUGGUCUCCCAUGUGGGUGCAGGUGCCCAAGCACUUGGGCCAUCUUCCACUGCCCUCCCAGGGCCACAGCAGAGAGCUGGACUGGAAGAGGAGCAACUGGGACUAGAACCCGGCACCCAUGUGAGAUGCCGGCACCGCAGGCAGAGGAUUAACCAAGUGAGCCACAGCGCCAGCCCCAGAAUAAAUCCUUUUCAACCAGGCAUCUUGCUGUGUGAUGAUCUGUCAGAUCAAGUGACCACAUUCAUUUCCUGGGCAUAGAGUUGUACGAUGGUGGAGGGGAACAUGGUACUGCUACAAGAGCUGACCACAGCAGAAACAUGACUCAUUCAUUCAGUCAUUCAUUCAACAAACUGUCACUGUGUGUCUACUAUCUACCACAUGGCAGGCACCUGCCACGCCCUUCAGUAUUACAGUCUCAUGGCAGAGAUGCCAUCAAACGGAUCUCAAUGCAUGACAUGUGCACCCAGAUAGAGGCUCCAGACAAAGCAUAAGGGCAGGCACCUCCUGCCCCAGCCCGGGCUGUGUGCCCUAGGUCAAACUUGUAAGCUCUGAAAAUGUUUUAGCAUAACACUUUGUUUCCAAAUUCAUCAGUCUUUUUUUUCCCCAUCUACCCCCCCAAAAUUGAAGAUACAACCCUGUAUAUAGCAUUUCUCCAAGUGUAGUCCCUGGACCACCAGAUAUUCAGGAUGAAAACUGUUGUUACCUGAAAGGGGAAAAAUUAGGGGGAGGGGAAAUCUUGGAACUGCAGAUUUAAUUAUUGUUGGAUUUCCCAGACCCCUUAAAAUGUUAAUGUGCAUUAUGAAUCACUAGGAUAGGAACAGUAGUGGUAUCUCCCAGAGUCUGCUUAAUGCAGUUCCUUUGUGCAGCAGGCAUUGAUGUCACUGUGCACACUCUGAGAAACACAGCGCUCCAGCUUCCCAACACCUGCUCCUCUCUGGAGGAGAGGCAUAAGAUAAGCACAGUGCACAGUGGAUCACCACAAUGUUGGUUGAUCUUGAUGAAAUAUAAAGGUCCCAUAGGAGGGUAUAAAUCUAUUUCAAAGAUCAAGAAACUAUGGUGGACGUGUGCUUCUAAAUGGUAUCUUCUUAAUUCUCACACAGGCGACCAAAUUCCCAGCCUCCAGCUCCUCUGUCUACUGUCCUUAGGAAACCCUACUUUAGGUUACAAAUUUAGCCACAAGCUUAGGUUCCUUUCCCUCUAGCAGAAUUUGGAAAACAUAUUGAUGCAGCUUUAAAAGCAUGUAACUCAGAAAAUCAGGUAAGCUGGCUGGGGGUAGAUUGAAACAGUCUCUACAACAUUUAGGGUGAGAGAUGUUGGUGUUCAGCCCCGCAUACACACACACACAGAGCCAAGGACAGGCAUUUGAUACAGCAACUAAGAUGCCAUGUGGUGGACAAGUGCUGUGGCAAAGCAGGUUAAGCUGCCACCUGCAAGCUGGCAACCCAUAUGGGCACCAGUUCGUGUCCCAGCUGCUCCACUUCUGAUCCAGCUCCCUGCUAAUGUACCUGGGAAAACAACAGAAGAUGGCCUAAGUGUUUGGGCCCCUGCACUCGUGUCGGAGACCAGAAUGAAGCUCUUGG